CAUUCACGGAGAGUUUGAUCCUGGCUCAGGACGAACGCUGGCGGCGUGCUUAACACAUGCAAGUCGAACGAUGAACCGCUUUCGGGCGGGGAUUAGUGGCGAACGGGUGAGUAACACGUGGGCAAUCUGCCCUGCACUCUGGGACAAGCCCUGGAAACGGGGUCUAAUACCGGAUAUGACUGUCCAUCGCAUGGUGGAUGGUGUAAAGCUCCGGCGGUGCAGGAUGAGCCCGCGGCCUAUCAGCUUGUUGGUGAGGUAGUGGCUCACCAAGGCGACGACGGGUAGCCGGCCUGAGAGGGCGACCGGCCACACUGGGACUGAGACACGGCCCAGACUCCUACGGGAGGCAGCAGUGGGGAAUAUUGCACAAUGGGCGAAAGCCUGAUGCAGCGACGCCGCGUGAGGGAUGACGGCCU
rnacentral:rRNA from 1 species